UUUGGAAGAAAAUCGAGAAACAGACGAAAACAAUUUUGCUUUGCACAUUUGUUAGCUUGCCCGGGAUGUGUUUGUGUGUGUCUGUGUCUGUGUCUGUGUGUGGUGUAUGCCGUAUGUGUGCGUGUUCGUGUGCGGUGUAUAGAUUUAGAUAUACAGAUAUAUGUAAGUAAUGCUUAGACCUUAAACAAAUUCCUUACUUUUCGUUUGACUUACGACUACGAAAUUUCACUAUAAAAAUUUACAAU